AGGGGUAUAGUUAAUAAUAACAAUUUCUUUGCAAGAAAAAAGUAUUGAAAAUUCAAUUAUCCUUAA
rnacentral:tRNA from 1 species